GAGGCAGCAGUGGGGAAUAUUGCACAAUGGGCGAAAGCCUGAUGCAGCGACGCCGCGUGAGGGAUGACGGCCUUCGGGUUGUAAACCUCUUUCACCAGGGACGAAGCUAACGUGACGGUACCUGGAGAAGAAGCACCGGCUAACUACGUGCCAGCAGCCGCGGUAAUACGUAGGGUGCGAGCGUUGUCCGGAAUUAUUGGGCGUAAAGAGCUUGUAGGCGGUUUGUCGCGUCUGCUGUGAAAGACCGGGGCUUAACUCCGGUUCUGCAGUGGGUACGGGCAGACUAGAGUAUGGUAGGGGAGACUGGAACUCCUGGUGUAGCGGUGAAAUGCGCAGAUAUCAGGAGGAACACCGAUGGCGAAGGCAGGUCUCUGGGCCAUUACUGACGCUGAGAAGCGAAAGCAUGGGGAGCGAACAGGAUUAGAUACCCUGGUAGUCCAUGCCGUAAACGUUGGGCGCUAGGUGUGGGGCUCAUUCCACGAGUUCCGUGCCGCAGCUAACGCAUUAAGCGCCCCGCCUGGGGA
rnacentral:rRNA from 1 species